AUUGAACGCUGGCGGCAGGCCUAACACAUGCAAGUCGAGCGGCAGCGGGAAAGUAGCUUGCUACUUUUGCCGGCGAGCGGCGGACGGGUGAGUAAUGCCUGGGAAAUUGCCCAGUCGAGGGGGAUAACAGUUGGAAACGACUGCUAAUACCGCAUACGCCCUAUGGGGGAAAGCAGGGGACCUUCGGGCCUUGCGCGAUUGGAUAUGCCCAGGUGGGAUUAGCUAGUUGGUGAGGUAAUGGCUCACCAAGGCGACGAUCCCUAGCUGGUCUGAGAGGAUGAUCAGCCACACUGGAACUGAGACACGGUCCAGACUCCUACGGGAGGCAGCAGUGGGGAAUAUUGCACAAUGGGGGAAACCCUGAUGCAGCCAUGCCGCGUGUGUGAAGAAGGCCUUCGGGUUGUAAAGCACUUUCAGCGAGGAGGAAAGGUUGAUGCCUAAUACGUAUCAACUGUGACGUUACUCGCAGAAGAAGCACCGGCUAACUCCGUGCCAGCCGCCGCGGUAAUAC
rnacentral:rRNA from 1 species